CACUUUAGAUCUCAGAUCCUCUUCCCUUCCAUUCACCUUCACCUCUUCCUCCUUCAGACGAUGCCAUUUCCUCAAGCCAUGCUCUUCCCUCAAAUAAACGAAGAAGCAACAACCUCUUCUCCGCCUUCUUCCACCACCGCUCCUCCUAAGAGUCUCCGAUGGUUCUUCAAUCCCAGAUACAGCGAUGACAAUAAAGAAGAUGACGCCUACAUCCCCCACGGCCGAGAGCGAUGACAGAUCAAAUGGGGAUACUGCUAUCAAGGGUACGAUUUUGGCCGGAGUUAUGUUGAUUGGUACUGUUGGCUACGUCUACAAGGACCAGAUCCAUAUAUAUUCUCAUUCAGUUCUCCACUUUCAUCGAAGGUUCAACUAACAUUGAAUCAAAUGAUCUCAGUGACAAUUGAUGCAUUUAUACAAGUUUUGAGAUCAGUUUCAGAGCUGACAUGAGUUUUGUCUUGACGGAGUGAAAACAGGUUAUGGUCAUGCUGGGUAUGCACUUUUCAUUGCUGUGUACGCUGGCCUUGAGGCAAGCUUCUUCAUAAUCUCCUCUUUUUCAUGUCAUUAAGACUUUGUAGCCUAAAUUUUGAAGCUUUUGGUUUCUGUUUCAUAAGAUACCAGCCAUUCCGGAACUCCCGUUGACUCAAGUUGAGUUUAAUGAAUUUGGUGGAAGCUCAAUGUUGGCUACAACUCUUGCUUGGAACAAUGAGCUGUCGACGCCAGAGAAUGCUAUUGAAGCACUCAAGAGAGUAUGCAUCAGGAUUCUUCUGUUAUGAUAAGGUUACGAAGGGAGACUCUAAGAGUGUAUGUUCUUAGCAAGAACCGUGUUCCCAGUAAAGGAGCACAUUACCUUGCUGUAGAGAAGGCUUUGGAGAUGAUUGAGCGAAAAUUUCAUCUCUUAGCAAGAGUGAAGGGCAUGAUGCUUAUCAAUUCUGACUGCAACCACCUGGUGCACAAGCUUUUAUCGGGAACACGGUAUGGUACGUAAGUAGUCUCUUGAUGCAUUCUGUUUGAUUUACAUAUCUGGAACAAAUUGUUGUUAAAGAACAUAGUACUUGAAUAACUUUACAUCACAUGAUCAUCUAGAUAGCUUGAAAUUAAGCACUGUCAAUGUUAUCUCCAUUCUUAUCUUUUCUAUUGAUAUGUGAUCAUUGUUGCUUCCACCGUUGCAUUAUUGAUCCGUUAUUUGUGAGUAAUGUGUAAGAGCGUUGUUGAACGAUCUUGCAACAUGUUUUUUUGUGAGUAGUGUGUAAGAGCGUUGAACGCUCUUAAAUCCUUUGCAAGAGUUUCUGCAGACUCAUCAUCUUUCUCAUUCCUCUUCUUUCUAACAGUCAUGAAAAUCUCAUGGGACUGGUGAACAGAAAUACUGAGUUAUGAACAACUCAUGUGUAUCCUGCAAGGCUUCUGACAGAAUCAAGAGAUAUGGAAACGAAAACCCUACCGCAAGUGAUUAUGAUCCGUUGCAACAUUCACGUCCAUUGGAGACAGCCACUACACAUGUUCAGCCUGCUUGCGACGGGAGCACUGUUGAGAGCUACUGGUUUUAGCAUUUGAGUGUUUUCUCAAAAAGGCACGCAAGACUUAAUUGAUCAAGUUAGAAAGUUGAUAAUUUAUCAUACUGACCCAGUCACAGAGAUAAGUUCUAUGAUGAAAGUAACUAAUCAUUAUUACACAGGAAAGAUAUUUAUCUUACUACUUGGAGUGAAAGUAUACAUGCUAACGGAAAUUAAAGUUGCUAUUGUUGUGUGCAAUAUUUUGAAGUUGAAAGUGCUUUAAUGAUAUACGCUUAUAGCCGAAUCUCUCCAGAACAGUGAAGAUAUGUUCUUUUUUUUUUUUUUUGGCUAACAAGAAGGAUAUGUUCUUUCUAAAUGAAAAGAUAUGAAAAACAGUUUAACUACAAGAUUGAAUGACAUGAAAUAUAUUUAUUCAGAUCAUAGGACAAUCAAAUAAAUGAUAUAAUCUUACAGAAAAACUAAAAGUCGAGUUCUUCCAAAUGCGCACGGAAGGACGCAUAAAAAUAAUAAAAUGAAUAACAGCUUUUAUGUUUAGCAAGUUUUUUUUUUUGAACAACGCAUUUGGAAAUUCAACUGUUCAUAUUUUGAUGAUUUUAAAUACAAACUUGGAUACAAGUCCUCGCAUUUUUGAACUUUUGUGAUUACCCUGUUUUGUAAGUAGUUACAAGAUUUAUAAAGAGAUUAUUCGCUAAAUAACUAAAACAAGGGAAAUUAGAUUUUGGGAGAGAGAGUAGAGAAAGAUAGAAAGCGAAAGUAAGAGAGAGAGAGUGAGUUUUCGGUUAGUUAGUGAAUUAUAGUUUUUUGGGGGUUAUUUGACUUAAUUUCCAAUUUAUAAAGUAGUCACCUAUAAAUUAACCAUUAU